GGGUAUUUUGACCGUGCUAAGGUAGCANAAUCAUUUGGUUUUNAAUUGAUAACUGGAAUGAAAGGUUGCUCUUAUUUUAAUUUUUGUAAAACUNAAAUAAUAAAUNAAAGUNAGGGUAAGAAUUCUUUAAUUUUCNAGGGGACGAUAAGACCCNAGAAGCUUAAUAUAGAGUUGUACUUANAGAAAAAGUUGAUUAUUUAUUUUACUGGGGCGGUAGGAGUAAACUUACUAUUUGCUNAAAAAAGAUCUUUAAAAUUAAGANAAUUGGGAUUAGUUACUCUAGGGAUAACAGUGCAAUUUUUUNAGAAAGACCUUAUUGAUGAANAAGUUUGCAACCUCGAUGUUGAAUUAAGAUGUCUUAGUGAGGUAAAAGGUACUAAAGAAAGGUUUGUUCAACCUUUAAAGUCUUACAUGAUCNGAGUUCAAACCGGA
rnacentral:rRNA from 1 species